CUCCCGCAUUCUGCCUUAGUCUGUGUUGCUUUCUUUUUUGAUUUAUAGAAACUACUACUAAAAGACAUGGAGAAAUAUUGUAUUCGUAUAAAAAGUUCAACAGGCAACACUGCCGAUAGUUUCAUCGAUUGUUUCGAGGAAAUUGAUUUUCUUAUUGCGCAAAUUCAAAGCAUCGGAGUUAUUCAAAAAACUGCGUUUUACAGCAAGUGCAGCCUUUACCAAUAAGUUCUGCGUGCUAGGAUCUCUGUGUGUCCGUCCACGUUUGGCUGGUGCAGUCCACUGGGAAUUACAGCUGCACCGAUGUAUUUGGUGAAGUGUAGCCGUUACAUACUUACAAGUCAGGAUCACUUUGUGUGUCCAUCCACCAAAUUCAAUUUAAGAUAUUGAACAUGUAAUUUUUAAAUGCAACAAAUAUAUAAUUAUUUUUUAAAAAGAUUAA
rnacentral:lncRNA from 1 species